rnacentral:rRNA from 1 species
GACGUAGGGUGCGAGCGUUGUCCGGAUUUAUUGGGCGUAAAGAGCUCGUAGGCGGCUCGUCGCGUCAGCUGUGAAAACCCGCGGCUUAACCGUGGGCUUGCAGCUGAUACGGGCGGGCUAGAGUUCGGUAGGGGAGACUGGAAUUCCUGGUGUAGCGGUGAAAUGCGCAGAUAUCAGGAGGAACACCGGAGGCGAAGGCGGGUCUCUGGGCCGAUACUGACGCUGAGGAGCGAAAGCGUGGGGAGCGAACAGG